rnacentral:rRNA from 1 species
ACGCUCGACACCUACGGGGGGCAGCAGUGGGGAAUAUUGCACAAUGGGGGAAACCCUGAUGCAGCGACGCCGCGUGAGCGAAGAAGUAUUUCGGUAUGUAAAGCUCUAUCAGCAGGGAAGAAAGUGACGGUACCUGACUAAGAAGCACCGGCUAAAUACGUGCCAGCAGCCGUGGUAAUCUGAGGCGGGCUGGCAAGGC